GUAGUUUGCUACUUUUAAUAUGUAAGUUAAAUUUAUUCAUUAUAGCUGGAAUUAGAAAGACUAACUUCAACUAUGUGGGCUUGUUUCAGCUAUCCAGUGCUAUUCUUAAAUAAUGUGACAAUGUAAACUACUUAAAAAUAUACAGGUGAUGCUUUUGUAUAAUCAUUGGAGUAUUAAAGAUGGAGGUAGAACCAUUUUCUGAUGAGAAGCAGAAUGUUUUGUUGGAUAUCAAACCGAU